GCCGAUGGCAGAUUAGGUAGUUGGUGGGAUAAAAGCUUACCAAGCCGACGAUCUAGCUGGUCUGAGAGGACGACCAGCCACACUGGGACUGAGACACGGCCCAGACUCCUACGAGGCAGCAGUGGGGAAUUUUGGACAAUGGGCGCAAGCCUGAUCCAGCCAUGCCGCGUAGGAUGAAGGCCUUCGGGUUGUAAAGCGCUUUUGUCCGGAACGAAAACACUCUUUCUAAAAGAGGGUCCAUGACGGUACCGUAAGAAUAAGCACCGGCUAACUACGUGCCAGCAGCCGGUAAUACGUAGGGUGCAAGCGUUAAUCGGAAUUACUGGGCGUAAAGCGUGCGCAGGGUGAUGUAAGACAGAUGUGAAAUCCCCGGGCUCAACCUGGGAACUGCAUUUGUGACUGUCGCUGGAGUACGGCAGAGGGGGAUGGAAUUCCGCGUGUAGCAGUGAAAUGCGUAGAUGCGGAGGAACACCGAUGGCGAAGGCAACCCCCUGGGCCAAUACUGACGCUCAUGCACGAGCGUGGGGAGCAAAUAGGAUUAGAUACCCUGGUAGUCCACGCCCUAAACGAUGUCAA
rnacentral:rRNA from 1 species